GAUGAACGCUGGCGGCGUGCCUAAUACAUGCAAGUCGAGCGAACAGACGAGGAGCUUGCUCCUCUGACGUUAGCGGCGGACGGGUGAGUAACACGUGGAUAACCUACCUAUAAUACUGGGAUAACUUCGGGAAACCGGAGCUAAUACCGGAUAAUAUAUUGAACCGCAUGGUUCAAUAGUGAAAGACGGUUUUGCUGUCACUUAUAGAUGGAUCCGCGCCGCAUUAGCUAGUUGGUAAGGUAACGGCUUACCAAGGCAACGAUGCGUAGCCGACCUGAGAGGGUGAUCGGCCACACUGGAACUGAGACACGGUCCAGACUCCUACGGGAGGCAGCAGUAGGGAAUCUUGCGCAAUGGGCGAAAGCCUGACGGAGCCACGCCGCGUGAGUGAUGAAGGUCUUCGGAUCGUAAAACUCUGUUAUUAGGGAAGAACAAAUGUGUAAGUAACUAUGGCCGUCUUGACGGUACCUAAUCAGAAAGCAACGGCUAACUACGUG
rnacentral:rRNA from 1 species